rnacentral:rRNA from 1 species
UAGGGAAUCUUCCGCAAUGGGCGAAAGCCUGACGGAGCAACGCCGCGUGAGUGAUGAAGGUCUUCGGAUCGUAAAACUCUGUUAUUAGGGAAGAACAAAUGUGUAAGUAACUAUGCACGUCUUGACGGUACCUAAUCAGAAAGCCACGGCUAACUACGUGCCAGCAGCCGCGGUAAUACGUAGGUGGCAAGCGUUAUCCGGAAUUAUUGGGCGUAAAGCGCGCGUAGGCGGUUAGAAAAGUCUGAAGUGAAAGGCAGUGGCUCAACCAUUGUAGGCUUUGGAAACUGUUUAACUGGAGUGCAGAAGGGGAGAGUGGAAUUCCAUGUGUAGCGGUGAAAUGCGUAGAUAUAUGGAGGAACACCGGUGGCGAAAGCGGCUCUCUGGUCUGUAACUGACGCUGAGGCUCGAAAGCGUGGGGAGCGAACAGG